rnacentral:rRNA from 1 species
UACGUAGGGUGCGAGCGUUGUCCGGAAUUAUUGGGCGUAAAGGGCUCGUAGGCGGUUUGUCGCGUCGGGAGUGAAAACCUCGGGCUUAACUCGGGGCUUGCUUUCGAUACGGGCAGACUAGAGGUAUGCAGGGGAGAACGGAAUUCCUGGUGUAGCGGUGAAAUGCGCAGAUAUCAGGAGGAACACCGGUGGCGAAGGCGGGUCUCUGGGCCGUAACUGACGCUGAGGAGCGAAAGCGUGGGGAGCGAACAGG